GACGAACGCUGGCGGCGUGCCUAACACAUGCAAGUCGAGCGAGGAGAGUUCCUUCGGGAACAAACCUAGCGGCGGACGGGUGAGUAACACGUGGGCAACCUGCCUUGUAGAGGGAAUAGCCUUCCGAAAGGAAGAUUAAUACCGCAUAACAUUACAGUUUCGCAUGAAACAGUAAUUAAAGGAGCAAUCCGCUACAAGAUGGGCCCGCGGCGCAUUAACUAGUUGGUGAGGUAACGGCUCACCAAGGCGACGAUGCGUAGCCGACCUGAGAGGGUGAUCGGCCACAUUGGGACUGAGACACGGCCCAGACUCCUACGGGAGGCAGCAGUGGGGAAUAUUGCACAAUGGGGGAAACCCUGGUGCAGCAACGCCGCGUGAGUGAUGAAGGUUUUCGGAUCGUAAAGCUCUGUCUUCGGGGACGAUAAUGACGGUACCCGAGGAGGAAGCCACGGCUAACUACGUG
rnacentral:rRNA from 1 species